GUGCUUCCUAAAUUAUACUUCAUCUGGUUGUGACAUCUGAAAAGCUAAAGGGAGAAUGAUCACCCCAAAUUUGACCUUCCUGUGCCACUAGGUCUUUUUUUUUUUUUUAAUAAAUAACCACAUCAGGGGGAAAAAAAGAUACAAUAGCACCCUAUUUGAAAAUACAAAUGGGCAAAAAAAUAGAGCUUUCUAUACACCUUUGCAAGUAAUAGUAUGCUUUCAAACUUGUCUAAAUGUUUUUUUAAUUGCAAUGUGACCCUAAUUUCUUUCCCCAGCUGAGAUGGCAACAAUGAAGCUUAAAGUAAUUGAAGUGGGAGCAGCAGGGAUUAACUUUUUCCCUCCUUUCUUACUUCACAAUCAGCGACAACCUUGUUCCAGUUUUCCAGUCAUAUUCAGAUGUGUACACACAGAGAGACACAUGCACUCAAACAUCUGAGAACCCAGAGUAUUUAAGGAAAUGUCUACAGUGCCUUGAAAUGUGAUCAAGCCUCGGAGAGCAGGUAUCAGGCCAAGAGAAAUAACUCUUAUCCGUAAAGAGUUCUAUAAUAAAUCAGAAAGCCUUUUCUUCCACAUGUCAGCUGACAUGUUUAAUUUAUCUGCUUUGACAGAAUUGUGGCAAGCAGACUGGCCACUGGCACAAUUAGAAUGGGCCUUUGUGACCAAGGUCAGGAUAUCAGACAUGGAAGGGCACGGAAAAGGAAUACACACAACUACCUGGCCCUGCAGGAGGAGUACUCUCCUAUGAGAUGCUGGAUAUCUCAUUUCCCUGGGAGAGCUGCACACACCAUAAUCCAAGCAUGGCUCCACUGGUCAGGAUGAGCCUUCAUUCUCAACACAGUAGCAUGAUUCCAGGCAAAGUCUGAUGGGACAGGAGAACGUACAUGUGAGCGGAGAAGAUACACACAGUACAUGUAUCCAAUUUUUCUUACUGUUGGUAAUGACUCAUGAGCACAGCAAUUCUAGUGGGCCCACCUUGCGUGAGAGUUCAGUGAUACUCAAAGUGAAUACAAGAUGAGAAUGUUA
rnacentral:lncRNA from 1 species